CAGCGCGCAAUUACCCACUCCCGGCACGGGGAGGUAGUGACGAAAAAUAACGAUACGGGACUCAUCCGAGGCCCCGUAAUCGGAAUGAGUACACUUUAAAUCCUUUAACGAGGAUCAAUUGGAGGGCAAGUCUGGUGCCAGCAGCCGCGGUAAUUCCAGCUCCAAUAGCGUAUAUUAAAGUUGUUGCGGUUAAAAAGCUCGUAGUCGAAUUUGUGUCACAUGCCGCUGGUUCAUCGUUCGCGGUGUAAACUGGCGUGACAUGGGACGUCCUGCCGGUGGGCUUAGCUCUUUCGGGAGCGGCCCUAUACAAUCCUGCCGCGUUGCUCUUGAUUGAGUGACGAGGUGGGCCGGCUCAUUUACUUUGAACAAAUUAAAGUGCUUAAAGCAGGCUAAAAUUUUGCCUGAAUAUGUGUGCAUGGAAUAAUGGAAUAGGACCUCGGUUCUAUUUUGUUGGUUUUAAGAACCCCGAGGUAAUGAUUAAUAGGAACGGAUGGGGACAUUCGUAUUGCGACGUUAGAGGUGAAAUUCUUGGAUCGUCGCAAGACGAACAUAAGCGAAAGCAUUUGUCAAAAACGUUUUCAUUGAUCAAGAACGAAAGUUAGAGGUUCGAAGGCGAUCAGAUACCGCCCUAGUUCUAACCAUAAACGAUGCCAGCCAGCGAUCCGCCGAAGUUCCUCCGAUGACUCGGCGGGCAGCUUCCGGGAAACCAAAGCUUUUGGGU
rnacentral:rRNA from 1 species